GAAAAUGAACUGAAUGAAUCAACAUUUCCAUUCUAUGAAUUUGCUCUGACAGAAUAUCUCAGGAUGGGAAACCUGAUGUGAAGAAAAAACCAGAGGCUAAUUAAAAAGGGAUAAAUUGAGACGUAUGAAAGUGAGAUGUCUAACUGAAUCACUAAAUGAAUCGAUC